ensembl:snRNA U6 U6 spliceosomal RNA
AUGCUCACUUUAGCAGCACAUAUACUAAAAUUGGAAUGAUACAGAGAAGAUUACCACGGCCCCUGCACAAGGAUGGAAGCCUCCACCAAGACUUCCCCCACUCUGCC